rnacentral:rRNA from 1 species
UACGGAGGGUGCAAGCGUUGUCCGGAUUUAUUGGGUUUAAAGGGUGCGUAGGCGGCCUGGUAAGUCGGCGGUGAAAGCCCGGGGCUCAACCCCGGAACUGCCAUCGAUACUGUCAGGCUUGAGUACAGGCGAGGUUGGCGGAAUGGGCGGUGUAGCGGUGAAAUGCAUAGAUACCGUCCAGAACCCCGAUUGCGAAGGCAGCUGACUAGGCUGUAACUGACGCUGAGGCACGAAAGCGUGGGGAGCGAACAGG